rnacentral:rRNA from 2 species
ACGUAGGGAGCGAGCGUUGUCCGGAAUUACUGGGUGUAAAGGGAGCGUAGGCGGGAUAGCAAGUCAGAUGUGAAAACUAUGGGCUCAACCUGUAGAUUGCAUUUGAAACUGUUGUUCUUGAGUGAAGUAGAGGUAAGCGGAAUUCCUAGUGUAGCGGUGAAAUGCGUAGAUAUUAGGAGGAACAUCGGUGGCGAAGGCGGCUUACUGGGCUUUUACUGACGCUGAGGCUCGAAAGCGUGGGGAGCAAACAG